UUGGAGCAACUUCGGUUUUAA
ensembl:piRNA 21ur-4543 ncRNA